GGUCCGGUCCCGUGCGGCGCAAACUCAUGAACCCCGUCAGGUCCGGGAGGAAGCAGCGGUAAAUGAGAGCUUGCGGGUGCCACGGGGCUGCCGGGCUGGA
rnacentral:SRP_RNA from 1 species